AACGAACGCUGGCGGCAUGCCUAACACAUGCAAGUCGAACGAGACCUUCGGGUCUAGUGGCGAACGUGUGCGUAACGCGUGGGAACCUGCCCUUAGGUUCGGAAUAACUCCCCGAAAGGGGUGCUAAUACCGGAUAAUGUCUUCGGACCAAAGAUUUAUCGCCUUUGGAUGGGCCCGCGUUGGAUUAGCUAGUUGGUAGGGUAAAAGCCUACCAAGGCGACGAUCCAUAGCUGGUCUGAGAGGAUGAUCAGCCACACUGGGACUGAGACACGGCCCAGACUCCUACGGGAGGCAGCAGUGGGGAAUAUUGGACAAUGGGCGAAAGCCUGAUCCAGCAAUGCCGCGUGAGUGAUGAAGGCCUUAGGGUUGUAAAGCUCUUUUACCCGGGAUGAUAAUGACAGUACCGGGAGAAUAAGCUCCGGCUAACUCCGUG
rnacentral:rRNA from 1 species